rnacentral:rRNA from 1 species
GCGGCGAAAGGGAGAGGACAACAUAGGAAUCUGCCCUGGGGUCGGGGAUAGCGUCGGGAAACUGACAGUAAUACCCGAUAAUAUCUAAGGAUCAAAGGAGCAAUUUGCCCCGGGAUGAGCCUAUGCCCCAUUAGCUAGUUGGCGGUGUAAUGGACCACCAAGGCUGUGAUGGGUAGCUGGUGUGAGAGCACGACCAGCCUCACUGGCACUGAGACACUGGCCAGACACCUACGGGUGGCUGCAGUCGAGAAUCUUCGGCAAUGGACGAAAGUCUGACCGAGCGACGCCGCGUGUGGGAUGAAGGUCUUCGGAUUGUAAACCACUGUCGAGGGGGAUUAAGGGAAACUUGAAAGAACCCUGGAGGAAGGGGAGGCUAAGCUCGUGCCAGCAGCCGCGGUAAGACGAGCUCCCCAAACGUUAUUCGGUAUUACUGGGCUUAAAGAGUUCGUAGGCGGCGAAGUAGGUGAGGUGUGAAAGCCCUCGGCUCAACCGAGGAACUGCGCUUCAAACCACUUCGCUAGAGGGAGAUAGGGGUAAGCGGAACAGAUGGUGGAACGGUGAAAUGUAUUGAUAUCAUCUGGAACACCGGUGGCGAAAGCGGCUUACUGGGUCUUUUCUGACGCUGAGGAACGAAAGCUAGGGUAGCGAACGGGAUUAGAUACCCCGGUAGUCCUAGCCGUAAACGAUGAGCACUAGUCUGAGGGACUUUCACGGUUUCUCGGACGUAGCGAAAGUGUUAAGUGCUCCGCCUGGGGAGUAUGGUCGCAAGGCUGAAA